GACGAACGCUGGCGGCGUGCUUAACACCUGCAAGUCGAACGAAGAGCGAUGGAAGCUUGCUUCUAUCAAUCUUAGUGGCGAACGGGUGAGUAACGCGUAAUCAACCUGCCCUUCAGAGGGGGACAACAGUUGGAAACGACUGCUAAUACCGCAUACGAUCUAACCUCGGCAUCGAGGAAAGAUGAAAGGUGGCCUCUAUUUAUAAGCUAUCACUGAAGGAGGGGAUUGCGUCUGAUUAGCUAGUUGGAGGGGUAACGGCCCACCAAGGCGAUGAUCAGUAGCCGGUCUGAGAGGAUGAACGGCCACAUUGGGACUGAGACACGGCCCAGACUCCUACGGGAGGCAGCAGUGGGGAAUCUUCCGCAAUGGACGAAAGUCUGACGGAGCAACGCCGCGUGAGUGAUGACGGCCUUCGGGUUGUAAAGCUCUGUUAAUCGGGACGAAAGGCCUUCUUGCGAAUAGUGAGAAGGAUUGACGGUACCGGAAUAGAAAGCCACGGCUAA
rnacentral:rRNA from 1 species